rnacentral:rRNA from 1 species
AUUGAACGCUAGCGGCAGGCUUAACACAUGCAAGUCGAACGAGCGGCGGACGGGUGAGUAAUGUCUGGGAAACUGCCUGGUAGCGGGGGAUAACUACUCGAAACGGUAGCUAAUACCGCAUACCAUCAGAUCUGCCCAGAUGGGAUUAGCUAGUAGGUAGGGUAACGGCUUACCUAGGCGACGAUCCCUAGCUGGUCUGAGAGGAUGAUCAGCCACACUGGGACUGAGACACGGCCCAGACUCCUACGGGAGGCAGCAGUGGGGAAUAUUGGACAAUGGGCGAAAGCCUGAUGCAGCCAUGCCGCGUGUAUGAAGAAGGCCUUCGGGUUGUAAAGUACUUUUAGUAGGGAAGCGGUACCUGCAGAAGAAGCACCGGCUAACUACGUGCCAGCAGCCGCGGUAAUUC